AUUGAACGCUGGCGGCAGGCUUAACACAUGCAAGUCGAGCGGAGAGAGGUAGCUUGCUACCGAUCUUAGCGGCGGACGGGUGAGUAAUGCUUAGGAAUCUGCCUAUUAGUGGGGGACAACAUUUCGAAAGGAAUGCUAAUACCGCAUACGUCCUACGGGAGGAAGCAGGGGAUCUUCGGACCUUGCGCUAAUAGAUGAGCCUAAGUCGGAUUAGCUAGUUGGUGGGGUAAAGGCCUACCAAGGCGACGAUCUGUAGCGGGUCUGAGAGGAUGAUCCGCCACACUGGGACUCAGACACGGCCCAGACUCCUACGGGAGGCAGCAGUGGGGAAUAUUGGACAAUGGGCGCAAGCCUGAUCCAGCCAUGCCGCGUGUGUGAAGAAGGCCUUAUGGUUGUAAAGCACUUUAAGCGAGGAGGAGGCUACUCUAGUUAAUACCUAGAGAUAGUGGACGUUACUCGCAGAAUAAGCACCGGCUAACUCUGUGCCAGCCGCCGCGGUAACAC
rnacentral:rRNA from 1 species